UACCCGCUGUUUAAGCAUAUCACUGAGCGCAGGAAAAGAAACCAACCAGGAUUUCCCUAGUAGCGGCGAGCGAACCGGAAAGAGCCCAGCUUGAAAAUCGCGGCGCCCGGGGCGCCUCGAGUUGUAGUCUGGAGAAGGUCCCUCUGCGGCGCGCCGCACCCAAGUGCCCUGGAAAGGGACGUCCGAGAGGGUGAGAGCCCCGUCGCGUGCGGAGUGCGCCGCUCCACGAGGACCUGUCUGCGAGUCGGGCUGUUUGGGAAUGCAGCCCUAAGCGGGUGGUAAAUUCCAUCCAAGGCUAAAUAUGGGCAAGAGACCGAUAGCGAACAAGUACCGCGAGGGAAAGAUGAAAAGGACUUUGAAAAGAGAGUUAAAAAGUGCUUGAAAUUGCUGGGAGGGAAGCGAAUGGAAGCUGCGGGUGCGACCCGGUUGAAUGUGGAACGGCCUUCGAAAGAAGCUGGUCCGCCGAUCAACGCGGGGCGCUGGUCAGCGUGGGCCGUCGCGGCGGGACAAGAGCGGGGAUUCGCUUCCCGCCGAUGCCGCCGCGGCGGCCGAGGAACGAAGCGCGCGCCCUCCCUUCGCGGCGGGCGUGGGCCUCCGGGCCCAACUGCGCGCUCGAGACGCUGGCGCAUUGAGCUCUUCAUCCGACCCGUCUUGAAACACGGACCAAGGAGUCUAACAUGUAUGCGAGCCGGUGGGCGGCAAACCCAUUGAGGCGCAAGCAACCUGACAGGUGGGACCCCGACCGCUCGCGGGAGGAGCACCAUCGACCGACCGUGAUCUUCUGUGAAGGGUUCGAG
rnacentral:rRNA from 1 species